AAACUGAGGAUAAUACUGGAUAGGCAAUUAUUCCUGCAAUGGGUUUUUGUUUAAAUGUUUUUUCGCCUAAGGAUGGGUCUGCGGCCGAUUAGGUAGUUGGUUAGGUAAUGGCUUACCAAGCCGUUGAUCGGUACGGGUUGUGAGAGCAAGAGCCCGGAGAUGGAACCUGAGACAAGGUUCCAGGCCCUACGGGGUGCAGCAGGCGCGAAACCUCCGCAAUGUGAGAAAUCGCGACGGGGGGAUCCCAAGUGCCAUUCUUAACGGGAUGGCUUUUCAUUAGUGUAAAGAGCUCUUGGAAUAAGGGCUGGGCAAGACCGGUGCCAGCCGCCGCGGUAACACCGGCAGCUCUAGUGGUAGCAGUUUUUAUUGGGCCUAAAGCGUCCGUAGCCGGUUUAAUAAGUCUCUGGUGAAAUCCUGUAGCUUAACUGUGGGAAUUGCUGGAGAUACUAUUAGACUUGAGACCGGGAGAGGUUAGAGGUACUCCCAGGGUAGAGGUGAAAUUCUGUAAUCCUGGGAGGACCGCCUGUUGCGAAGGCGUCUAACUGGAACGGUUCUGACGGUGAGGGACGAAAGUUAGGGGCGCGAACCGGAUUAGAUACCCGGGUAGUCCUAACCGUAAACGAUGCGGACUUGGUGUUGGGGUGGCUUUGAGCUGCUCCAGUGCCGAAGGGAAGCUGUUAAGUCCGCCGCCUGGGAAGUACGGUCGCAAGACUGAAACUUAA
rnacentral:rRNA from 1 species